rnacentral:rRNA from 1 species
UUGAACGCUGGCGGCAGGCCUCACACAUGCAAGUCGAACGGUAACAGGAAGCAGCUUGCUGCUUCGCUGACGAGUGGCGGACGGGUGAGUAAUGUCUGGGAAGCUGCCUGAUGGAGGGGGAUAACUACUGGAAACGGUAGCUAAUACCGCAUAAUGUCGCAAGACCAAAGAGGGGGACCUUCGGGCCUCUUGCCAUCGGAUGUGCCCAGAUGGGAUUAGCUUGUUGGUGGGGUAACGGCUCACCAAGGCGACGAUCCCUAGCUGGUCUGAGAGGAUGACCAGCCACACUGGAACUGAGACACGGUCCAGACUCCUACGGGAGGCAGCAGUGGGGAAUAUUGCACAAUGGGCGCAAGCCUGAUGCAGCCAUGCCGCGUGUAUGAAGAAGGCCUUCGGGUUGUAAAGUACUUUCAGCGGGGAGGAAGGGAGUAAAGUUAAUACCUUUGCUCAUUGACGUUACCCGCAGAAGAAGCACCGGCUAACUCCGUG